rnacentral:rRNA from 1 species
CUCCCACCGGUGUUUAUUUUACUUGGUUGCUUCGGCGGGCCCGCCUUUACUGGCCGCCGGGGGGCUCACGCCCCCGGGCCCGCGCCCGCCGAAGACACCGCCGAACUCUGUCUGAAGAUUGAAGUCUGAGUGAAAAUAUAAAUUAUUUAAAACUUUCAACAACGGAUCUCUUGGUUCCGGCAUCGAUGAAGAACGCAGCGAAAUGCGAUACGUAAUGUGAAUUGCAAAUUCAGUGAAUCAUCGAGUCUUUGAACGCACAUUGCNCCCCCUGGUAUUCCGGGGGGCAUGCCUGUCCGAGCGUCAUUGCUGCCCUCAAGCACGGCUUGUGUGUUGGGCCCCGUCCUCCGAUUCCGGGGUGACGGGCCCGAAAGGCAGCGGCGGCACCGCGUCCGGGUCGUCGAGCGUAUGGGGCUUGUCACCCGCUCUGUAGGCCCGGGCGGCGCUUGCCGAUCAACCCAAAUUUUUAUCCAGGUUGACGUCGGAUCAGGUAG